rnacentral:rRNA from 1 species
CCUACGGGAGGCUGCAGUGAGGAAUAUUGGUCAAUGGACGAGAGUCUGAACCAGCCAAGUAGCGUGAAGGAUGACUGCCCUAUGGGUUGUAAACUUCUUUUAUAUGGGAAUAAAAUGUUCCACGUGUGGGAUUUUGUAUGUACCAUAUGAAUAAGGAUCGGCUAACUCCGUGCCAGCAGCCGCGGUAAUACGGAGGAUCCGAGCGUUAUCCGGAUUUAUUGGGUUUAAAGGGAGCGUAGGUGGAUUGUUAAGUCAGUUGUGAAAGUUUGCGGCUCAACCGUAAAAUUGCAGUUGAAACUGGCAGUCGUGAGUACAGUAGAGGUGGGCGGAAUUCGUGGUGUAGCGGUGAAAUGCUUAGAUAUCACGAAGAACUCCGAUUGCGAAGGCAGUUCACUGGACUGCAACUGACGCUCAUGCACGAAAGUGUGGGUAUCGAACAGGAUUAGAUACCCCGGUAGUC